rnacentral:rRNA from 1 species
UACGUAGGGGGCAAGCGUUGUCCGGAUUUAUUGGGCGUAAAGAGCGUGUAGGCGGCCAGGUAGGUCAGCUGUGAAAACUCGAGGCUCAACCUCGAGACGUCGGUUGAAACCACCGGGCUAGAGUCCGGAAGAGGAGAGUGGAAUUCCUGGUGUAGCGGUGAAAUGCGCAGAUAUCAGGAAGAACACCCGUGGCGAAGGCGGCUCUCUGGGACGGUACUGACGCUGAGACGCGAAAGCGUGGGGAGCGAACAGG